rnacentral:rRNA from 1 species
CCUACGGGUGGCAGCAGUGAGGAAUAUUGGUCAAUGGACGAGAGUCUGAACCAGCCAAGUAGCGUGAAGGAUGACUGCCCUAUGGGUUGUAAACUUCUUUUAUAAAGGAAUAAAACGAGGCACGUGUGCCUUUUUGCAUGUACUUUAUGAAUAAGGAUCGGCUAACUCCGUGCCAGCAGCCGCGGUAAUACGGAGGAUCCGAGCGUUAUCCGGAUUUAUUUGGUUUAAAGGGAACGUAGAUGGGUUGUUAAGUCAGUUGUGAAAGUUUGCGGAUCAACCGUAAAAUUGCAAUUGAUACUGGCAGUCUUGAGUACAGUUGAGGGAGGCGGAAUUCGUGGUGUAGCGGUGAAAUGCUUAGAUAUCACGAAGAACCCCGAUUGCGAAGGCAGCUUACUAAACUGUGACUGACAUUGAUGCUCGAAAGUGUGGGUAUCAAACAGGAUUAGAUACCCGUGUAGUC